UCCAAAAAUUGUAAAGUUGGUUGCUUGGCCAUUUUUAAUUUUCUUUUCUUUUUUUCUUAACAUAGCACAUACCGAAGAGUACCGAAGUGGUGACUACGGUGACUCAACCACGAUACAGACCAAAACGUGAGUAAUUUGAACCAUUACACCCCUUUUACAUAAAUAUUUUGCACCUUGUUUUUUUUCUUACACCAUGUCUACACCAGACCGCAGCAUUUCAAAUGUGUCAGAUAGCAAAAGUACUGUUAGGCUUAAUUUUUUUUUAUUUAUUUUUUUUUCCCUUUAUAUCAGGCAUGUCCUGUGCUUUAUUCUCAUUUAUGCAUGUUUUUUUAUCGCUCUAACAUGUCAGUAACUUUAAGUAGCUUUGCGCGGCAUGGAUAUAUUAACAUACCACUAUAAAUGACAUAGCAAAAUCUUUGUUGGUAGAGACUUUAUAUUGUCACCACAAUAUAUUAUCAUACCGCCAAAACCUAAAAUAACAUAUGUGUGUCAGUCUCAAUCAGGGGCCAGUGACCACCAGAGGGUCUAAGCAAACUUCAAAUGGGGACCAUUGGACCACUUGAGAUGGAUUAACUCAAAUAUGACCAAUAAUAUUGUAAAGCAGAUUUUGAGCUGAUCUCCUUCAUUCUGCUGCUAGCUCACCACAACCACUGGGGUGUACCAGCUAUGGAAAGUGCAGGCCAAAUCUUGGGUGUCCACCUUCCACCACCAAACUUCUUCCCAUAUGUAGACAAGGUAUCCGCGAUCCUGAAUGGUGACAAGCAUUGGAGCUGUAGUGCUCGGGGGUGAACGACAUCAGGCUGCGGCAGACAGAGGUUCUGAAGAGGGACUUCAGGAGCCUGAUUGCGACAGUAUGCAGCACAUCGUCUGCAACGAGGAUCAUCGUGUCCGGAAAGCUUCCGACAUACUGACGAGGACAUGAAAGCUUUGGAGAUGGUUCAACCUAGAUGCACAGAUCUACCGCUAGCCCAGCUUCAUUCCCACAUCUGGCACCAAAGAUUCAUUAAGUGCAGUCCAUAACCAGUGUCUGCCAUGCACGGUCUGUUCCUUGUCCAUUGCAAAUGUUAUGGAUUGUUAUAUUAGAGCUCAUUAUAAUCUUUAUUUGAGACUGGUGUUAUGUAGACCCCCCCCCACUUUUCCUACAUUAAAGUGUCUUCUUUUUUUUUUUUUUUUUUUUUUAUUGAAAGAUUGUUUUAAUGUUCAAUCAACUUUGGGACAUAAUCAACUCUGGGAAGUUAGUAUAAUUAAUUCUGUAAGGCACUAUGAAUCAAAUGAACCUUUGUGUAGCGUGUUUCCUCCAAAGGCUUCUUCCUCAUUCCUCCUCAAACAUCAACAAGGGUCUUCUUUGCUAUUGUCACCUUUUGGCUUGCUCAUUGGAGUUUGUAAGCAUCAUUAUUUAGAACAAAAUAUGAAUAUGAAAAUUGGUAGGUGUUACACUAUUUCAGUGCAUGAAUUAAAGAACCACCUGACACAAAGCCAUGGAUCACCCCUUAUACAGAGCAUGGUAGGCUAAGAAAGGUCUAAUUUAUGCUUUCUGCAUAACGCAAUUAUGUGAACCACACCUAAUAAGCAGGUAGAAUUACAGUUCGUUUGAAACUAGCUUUACCUCAACUUGGCUGGCAAUUUUUUGCAUGUACUUUUUGUCUGAGGGAUCAAGCAAAAAAAGGGUUAGAUGAACAAACUACAGGCUGUGUACAUUAUGGGUUCCAGAAAGUGUUCAUGUGAGCUUGUAUUUUUAUUAGUAUUUUAAUUUAUAUAUACUGAUUUGUAACCAGAUUAUGAUGAAGUCACCCUUUGCAAAUCAUUUAAAGCAUUUUAAAAACUUAAAUCCAUGAAUGCAGUGCCUUUUUGAUUAUUCUAAACCGAAAGCAAAAAAUCUAUUAAAGUUUAAGUGCAAUAUGUAAAACUAAAUGUAUCAGUGAAACUUAAUGUAGAAUCUCCAAAAUAGGCAUAACUAUUUUUGUUGUUGUUUUUACACGUUAUGUAGGCUACUUGUUGGGGAAAAAUGCAACAAUAUGAAUUUGAGGCUUGUCAAAUUGUAUGCAGAUCAAUGAAUUUCCGUGUCAACACUGGAUGCGGUCUCAAUGUAAUUGUAAUGUUAUAUUAUUGUAAAAACGUAUGUCAAAUGAACAAAUGAAGUGGUAAACCUUGACAAAAUGUGAUUUGUAAUGAUAUUAUAAGGAUUUAUAUAGUUUAAAAGGGAUAUUAAAUGACAAAACUUUGAAAAAAAACUUGAAAUCUUCAACUAUAUUAGUGGCCUUCUACUGCCAUCUGGUGGCAAAUGACAAAUUCAGGAAAUUGCCAUUACAAACAUAAGAACAUUGUCAUUCAACACAUUUUUAGAGGUAGCUAUGUCCCGAUCGAAAUUGCUUGUUUAGAGUCAUGUCACACGUGCUUGCUUAUUUUCAGAAAGAUAUCUUUCUAUAAUGUCUUAUGAGCAUAAUUUUCUAUAAUGCUCAGAUAUCUGAGCAUUCUUUGAAGAGAUAUAGGCUUUCAGGGACACUUGGUCAAGGCUACAUUUUGAAAUGACCCUUUUAUAUCUGCUAAUGGAAAAGUUCAACUUUUUUUUGAUCAUUAUUAAACAACAGAGUCCAGAGAAUUGUACUGCAUUGGUUUUAUUCAGAUUGAGCAAAAAACCUAUGACUAGUAUGCAAAAGUAGGUUUUUCAAGAAAAUAUUCUUGAAUGAACGAUUUGAUUGACAAAAUAAAUGAUGGGUAAAGAAAUGUUUACUGCAAGUUUCUUUAAAGUUUCACAUUACACAAUGUGGCACAAUUGUCAUUAAUACUUCAACAAAAUUUAAGUGAUGAAUUUUGACAAAAUGUGAUUGUAAUGAUUUUAUCAAGUCUAAAUAUGCAUUAUAGAACAAUAUUAGUGAGUAGUAUGACAAAAUGACUACUUUAACCAGUAGGUGGCAGCAAAGGACCAGUCAUUGGCUCACUUUCAUUUUAAAAAUGGUCUGUUUUUGGUUUUGUACAUUUUCCAUGUUAACUCCAUUAAACAUGAUUACACACACACAACUUUUGUUGUAGAUAUUUGAAAUACAUGAUAGGUAAGAAAAUGCUUAGUGCAAGUCUGGUCUUUCUAACACUAGAAGAAUGAAUGAUGAAUGGGAAUUUGGUUUUUCGCUUAUAUCUCGGGAACAGGACGUCGAAAAAUUCUGAAACUCGGAGGGUAAAUAGUGCUCCACGGACCCUGUUGAACGAGACCA